rnacentral:rRNA from 1 species
GUUGAAAAGAACUUUGCAAAGAGAGUUAAAUAGUACGUGAAACCGUGCAGGGGUAAACGGGUGAGAUCGGAGAUUGUGGUGCGAUAGCAGAGCCCUGGAGGAUACCGUUGCAUCUGUUCAACACCGCAAGUCAUCUUGAUGAAACAUCUUGUUGACACAUGCGGCAAGUUUGGCAUUGCACGGUGAAUUUAGGGUAGAGCCGCUUCGGCGGUUCGUUUUCGCGCACCCUGGUAGCGACCGGAUGGGUACUCAAGGUUCCCGAAGGCAUGCGGAGUUGUUCGAUCCUCAUGGAGCCGAGAAUCCCUUACAUGCGACUAAGGCCGGAUCGUUCCCCUAGCGGGUCGUUCCGGCGACUUUAAGGGCUUAUCAUCGGUUGCAUGAGGCGUGCUCUGCGAACGCCUGGGUACCUCCCGUCCGGGGAAUUUUAGGACCGCGUGUGUAACACGCACGCGCUGCGUGGAAGAAAUUCCACCAGCGUGAUCCUACAUGUCUGCUGCCGAUAAUCAAAGGAGUUCUUACCCGACCCGUCUUGAAACACGGACCAAGGAGUCCAGAUUGUUCGCAAGUCUAAGGGCAUUAUGAACCCCGAAGGCGCAAUGAGAGUGAAUCCGGCAGUUUUUUACUGCCGGGACCACAAAAUAGGGAAGAUGGAAAGCAUCCUCGUUUCCUUGAGAAAUGAGGAAUCGCUAUCCCGCAUUCCCAGGGCGCCACGGACUUGUCCGUGGUGCACCCAGAGCGAACAGACUGGUACCCGAAAGAUGGUGAUCUAUGCCUGGACAGGACGAAGUCGGGGGAAACCCCGAUGGAGGUCCUGAGCGCUUCUGACGUGCAAAUCGAUCGUGCGAUCUGGGCAUAGCGGCGAAAGACUAAUCGAACCAUCUAGUAGCUGGUUCCUUCCGAAGUUUCCCUCAGGAUAGCUGGUGCCUAUGGAAACUAUAGUCUCACCUGGUAGAGCAAAUGACUAGAGGCAUUGGGGCCGAAUCGGCCUCGACCUAUUAUCAAACUGCAAAUGGGUGAGUACUCCGAUCAUGCCUUCUUCAUGGGGCUUCUUCCCUAUUCGGGUCGAAGCCUUUGAGGCCGGAGAUUACUAUAUAUAGUUACGAUAAAGGUGCCCAGUGGGCCGUUUCUGGUAAGCAGAACUGGUGCUGUGGGAUGAACCAAACGCGGGGUUAAGGCGCCUAAGUGAGAGCUAAACUCGCCACCUGAAAGGGGGCCAGUCGCUAGAGACAGCAGGACAGUGACCAUGGAAGUCGGUAUCUGCUAAGGAGUGUGUAACAACUCACCUGCCGAAGUGACUGAUGUUGAAAAUGGAUGGCGCUCGAGCUCUUCGCCUAUACCCCGCCGUCGGAGCAACGUGAUUCCGGUAACCCUAUUAGGGCUCCGGGACCGAAGAUGCUCCGACGAGUAGGAAGGCGCUGCGGUUGCGUUGAAGGUCCAGGCGUAAGCCGUUCCUGAGCCACCGCAGGUGCAGAUCUUGGUGGUAGUAGCAAUGAAUCUAUAGAGACACCUAGACGGCCCCGAUGGGGGAGGGUUUCGUGACAACAGCAGUUGGACACGAGUUAAUCGAUCCUAAGCGUCGAGAGAAAUCUCGGCGACAAGGGUGCGGUUGGCUCUUCGGACCGCCGCAUCCUUGCGAAAGGGAAUCAGGUUAAUAUUCCUGAAUCUGGUGGCGGCACUUGCAUGCCCUCAUUUUUCUGGGCAGUAUUCUGCUCUUUCUUGGCAACGAGAAUCAACCCAGAGACGCCGUUGGGAGGCCAGGGGAGAGUUAUCUUUUCUUGUUAAGUGCAUGGGCACCCUUGAAGUCACUCUAUGAGAGAUUGGGUGUGAUGCACGAAAGAGCGCCGCAGUAUUGCGGUGUCCUGGUUUAUCACUCCGGCCCUUGAAAAUCUGGGAGAGGAAACAGCAUGUGUCUCGCACGUGGUCGUACCAUAUCCGCAUCGGGUCCCCUAGGUGUCCAGCCUCUAGUCGAUAGAUCAAUGUGGGUAAGGGAAGUCGGCAAAUUCGAUCUGUAACCUUGGGAUAAGGAUUGGCUCUGAGGAGCUCGAUCUGUCGGGCUUGGUCGUGACGCGGUGAUGUGCCCUGGACUGCUCGGCUCCCGUCUAUUAGGCGAAAUAUCUUGUGGUUGAGUAGCCGAGGGACGGCCCUGGUAUCCUGUGGAACUCCCGCAAACUUCCAUGCUAGCCGAGGAGUCGGCCGUUCCCUGGUUGUUCAGCGACAUCCUGAACUGGUUCUGAGCUCUGCUCUAUGAAUCAACCCAGGCCAUGUCUACGAACGACCGUGGGUGACGGCGCAGUUCCUCUCCGGCGAUCAAUGAAAGCUCGUCUCAGAACUGGCACAGACCAGAGGAAUCCGACUGUCUAA